rnacentral:lncRNA from 1 species
CCUGGUGGUGCACGUCCCCAACCUUAUGUGGAUUUCCUAAAUUCUGCAAGAAAGGUUUGGAAGCUGAUCAAUCAAUACUGGAACUCCCUCUUCUCCAGAAGAGACAUCCUGGCCUCCAUGCAGAGGAAUGUGUGGAUAGACAUAUAUUUAAGGAAGACACUAAACCAGAAAAUACUACAUUACACCCUCUUAAAAGACUUCUAAGAUUGUUGUCAUGCCUACCACUGACAUUCAGAUGAUGUGUAUUGUUGAUUGUGAUUUCAUGUUUGGACCUGAUGAAGGAGUUUGAAGUCUCCAGAGCAGCAAAGAGAGUGGGGAGUAGAACUCAUCAUCUUUAGGUCACUCAUCAUCG